GUCGUCAGUUCGUGUUUUGAAAUCUAGAAUUAAGUUUUAUAAACGAACGCAACCCUUGUUUUGUAUUUACGAUACGAAAUAGAUGGUUAAGGGAUUAACCAUCUUAGGCAUAAGGCUGAAGUCAAGUCCUUACGGUCUGUGUACGCCGGGCUACACACGUGUUACAAUGGUAAAAACAAUAGAAAAAUAAAGUUCAAUCUUUAGUUUUUGAAAAAUUACCACAGUACGAAUUGUUUUCUGAAACUUGGAAGCAUGAAGAAGAAAUCGUUAGUAAUCGCAAUUAAGUAUGCUGCGGUGAAAUAUAAGUCAAGUCCUGCACACACUGCCCAUCACGCUCAAAGAGUUUCGAAUCUGGAAGCUGAAUUUAGGAUGUGACCCUACCCAUUUUUUUUUUUAAAAAAA
rnacentral:rRNA from 1 species